rnacentral:ncRNA from 1 species
GUAUGUUCCUAGGGUUGGCAUGUUUGCCCAUUAAUGCGGUACGUGAGCUGGGUUCAGAACGUCGUGAGACAGUUUGAUCCAUAUCGUGCCCACGGUAAACGCUGGGUAGCCAAGUGCGGAGCGGAUAACUGCUGAAAGAUGAGUGCUCUCCUAUUCCGACUUCCCCAGAUCCGCCGAUAGCACAGCUGAGGAAGCGACGGGUUCUCUGCCCCUGCGGCGUGGGGGUAGAGCGACAAAAGUUUUGAAAGAGAAGGUCACGGCGAGACAAGCUGUUUAUCAUUACGAUAGGUGUCAAGUGGAACUGCAUUGAUGUAUGCAGCCGAGGCAUCCUAGCAGACCGAUACUCUUGAACCU